AGCGAACGCUGGCGGCAGGCUUAACACAUGCAAGUCGAGCGGGCAUCCUUGUGGUGUCAGCGGCAGACGGGUGAGUAACGCGUGGGAACGUGCCCUUCGGUUCGCACUAACUCAGGGAAACUUGAGCUAAUACCGGAUACGUGCGAGGGCAGAAAGGGUUAUCUGACGAAGGGUCGGCCCGCGUCUGAUUAGCUGGUGGGUGAGGUUAUGGCUAACCAAGGCGACGAUCAGUAGCUGGUCUGAGAGGAUGAUCAGCCACACUGGGACUGAGACACGGCCCAGACUCCUACGGGAGGCAGCAGUGGGGAAUAUUGGACGAGGGGGGCAAACCUGAUCCAGCCAUGCCGCGUGAGUGAUGACGGCCUUAGGGUUGUAAAGCUCUUUUCUCCGGGACGAUAAUGACGGUACCGGAGGAAUAAGCCCCGGCUAACUUCGUG
rnacentral:rRNA from 1 species